UAGGUGAACCUGCUGCAGGAUCAUUACACACAUCUUGUUUCCCUUCUACACAAUCCGUCCCCUGGCGGGCACGUUGGGCCCUGAGGCCGUGCGUGAUUCCCACCGCUGGGUGCAUAGACGUGCAACGGCUGGGCUGGCGUCUGUGGGUCGUUGAGCAGUUGUAGUCCAUGUCCGUGGCUGUGAUGAUACGACUCGGUAGGGCUGUCAUGAGAUGUGGCAGCUUAAGACUUGAUGAGCUCAGAAAGAGCCGCCAGCACCCAUUUUUUUCACUACAAUUUUUUCAAGUGCGAAAGCACAACAAGUAUUCUAGCCUUAUCGGUGGAUCACUCGGCUCGUAGGUCGAUGAAGAACGCAGCCAGCUGCGAUAUAUAGUGUGAACUGCAGAAUCUUUGAACACUAAACAUUCGAAUGCACAUUGCGCCAUUGGAUUUGCGUCCUUUGGCACGCCUGGUUCAGGGUCGUUUACCGAAAAAGCAUAGCCUUUGCUUUCAACUUCUGCACCGUCAUUGCAUUUUGUUGGUGCAUUUUGCUCAUGCGCAUAGAGUCCACAUGGUCUCGUGUGCGUGCUCGCGGAUUUGUCAAUUUUUCACUCAACUGCCGUUGCGGUGGAACCCUCCGCGUUGCAUGCCGGGACUUGGGCACUCAUUCGUGCACAGCAUAUUGACUUCGACCUGAACUCAGACGUGAGUACCCGCUGAACUUAAGCAUAUCAGUAAGCGGAGGAAAAGAAACUAACGAGAAUUCCCUUUAUUAACGGCGAGUGAAAA
rnacentral:rRNA from 1 species